UGGGCUUGAGUUUCCUCACUUCUAAACAAAUGUGACUGCCUAGAUUUAGCCAGAUUUAAAUAGAGAUAACUGUGACUCUUCAUUCCAAAAUUAGAAUACCAGAACUGGUCUAAUACCCUCCUUUUAGAGAAGGGUAAAUAGAGGCUCACAGAGGAGAGGUCAUUUAAUUUGAGGCAGCUAUGAGGAAAACAAGGCCCAGAGAGAUUAAGUAAUUAGGUCACACAGCUGGCAGAAUCAAGAUUCAAACUCAGAUCCUCCCACUUCAGAGUCAAUACUGAUCCGUAGGGGCUGUUGCCACUCACUAGUCCUAUUGGUGGGAGCCUCAGUUUCCUCCUUCGUGGAUGUAAGGAAAACCCUACCUGUCAGUAGCUACCUCACAGGAUUGCCACGAGGAUUAAAUGAGCUAAUGUGAGGAUAGCACUUUGUAAACCUUAAAGCUCUAUAUAAAUGUCAGCGGUUAUGAGAAUGGAUGGUUGGGAGCUGGGACAGAAAGUCGAGUGUAGCCGCUAAGUGAAAAGGAGACUUCUGCUGCCCUCUAGCGUCAGCCCAAGGAUCUGCUGACACUCCACUUUUCCCAGGUCCAAAUGGUGAGUCGACUCGUAUUUAUGAAGCACCAAGAAUGUGCCAGGACCUGGGCUGAGCCCUGAAGAAAGGAAGAAAAAGCCCAUUCAGCGGCUGCCCUCAAGGAUCUUACAGUCUAACAGGGGACGCCAUAUGUACAUAAUAAGCAGAUAGAAGGUGGGGGAGACUGUGGGGGGCGGGGGCGGGGGGAGUGAGGGGGAGCCUGGGAAGUCCUGUCAGCAGAAGGUCAAAUCUGAUCUCAGUUUUGAAGGAAUCCUCGAACCCGGAGAGGCGCAGAGAGGAAGGAAGUGCCCCAAGCGUGAGGGAAAGACUGCACCAAGGUGCCAGAGCCGGGAGGAGGGCAGUGUCCGAGGAGCAGCAGCCAGUGGUCUUAUCUUGAGGAAGGAAGCCAUAGUCAACUUGAGUUAUAAAUACAAGACUUGAUUAAUGUGAGAACCAUUGCAGAAA
rnacentral:lncRNA from 1 species